rnacentral:lncRNA from 1 species
GAGGUUACUGAACUCAAUUGGCGGCCCUUACUGGUUAAGAACUCUUCCCUCUACCGAUCAGAACCCAACCAAUUCAUGAUUACCCGCCAUAGUGCAUGUCCACGGGGCCGAACCGAUGAAACCAGUUAGCUGACCGCAGAACCCACUGGCUCCUAACUGGGGACUAGCACAUCUGUCCAGUCUAUGAUCCCAAACAACAAUCUCUUCAUCUGAAGUUCAGUUCCUUAAGUUGGUUUGAGUCUGCAACUGGAUUAUCUGGGUCGUUUGUUUCUCUCGAUCAUCCCCGAUCAAAGCCUUCGGUACUUGCUUUCUCUGUUUGUGAAAAACCUUUCCUUUAUCUCUGGAUAUGAAAACCCAAUUGACCCAGUUCAUCUUAUUUUAUUAAUAUUCAUAAUAACACUAUACACCGACUGACAUUAUUUUCAUGCACACAACUUGGUAACUAUCUUGGUUAUGGUAUUGAUAUAGGCUGCUGCUUUAUUGCAAUUCAGUAGAGUUCAUUCUAUAGCUAGUGAUUUUGAUAUGUUGAGAGGAGAGAGAUAGCAGAUUGAUGGAAGUGUUUUGAUUUUAGUAUUCUUGGCAUUGUAUUUGUAUUUCAUUCUCUUAUCUGUAAAUAUAUCUACAAUUUGGAUAGUAACACUAUGAUACAAAAUUGUGUUGGCCAGCUGAUGGUAGCAGUGCUGCUAAUGAUUCAGAAUGUUGAGAAGGGAUACUCUGGUUUUCACCAAUCGCCUAUAGAUGCUUUCCAGCUCCUCUUCUGCCUCUUUAAUGCUUGACUCAAAUGCUUCCAAUUCUUUAAGAAGGUUUUGAAGUUGUGAAAGACUGAUCUCUUUGCUUGACUUCAAGAUGAGCAAUUCAGCAUCAAUCUUCUCUGCUUCAUUGACCUCAAUUUCCACUUCACAUGAGACGCGCUUGGUUUGCAAUAAUUUUGAGAUGACAGACCAGCCAGUGGGCACUGAUUUUGCCUUUGGCUCAGAAAUGAAAGAUAAUAUCGACUCAAACACCACAAGACCAAUUGCUUGAACUCCUCUUAGCAUGCUAAUCAUGUUCAGCAAAUCAGAAUUACUGUCCAAAACUGCUGUUGUGCAAUUUCUCUCCUUUUUCUUCAAAUUUUUUAGACAUUUGCAAAUUGCUUUAUUCAGAUUUUUUCUUGAUGCCAUAUAUGCAUCAACUUCGCUUGUCAAGCCACAGUCUCUGCCUUUUCUUCUACGGAUAGAUAAUUCAAACUCCUGAACACGUUCCUUCAUCUGUGAGAAAAAGUCUCUUGUGGAAUCACAAAAAUCCAACAAUUCCAGAGAUCCAUUCAAUGCAUUUUGUACAUACUGGCUUUGCCUCUCAGGGGACAGAGUCUGUUGGGCUUGUGGCAGUUGAAGUAAAUCAUCAACACACUCGAGCAAAUUCUUUAGGCCAUUCAAUUUGUGGCCUAUUGAUGAAGAUUGUGAUGCCUUCAACUUGUAUAGCUGCUCCUCAAUACUAACAGUUAGAGGAUGAGAUCUGGAUGGGAAGCUGAUUGAACGGAGAUGACAAGCAGCCAUUUGUUUCACUUCUAAAGAAGAAAGCCUACCAGGAAUGUGAAUAUGCAGGUAGUCUUGUUUUCUGUUUAACCCACUCCAUUGGGCAUCUUAUAUAUGUAUUAUGUAAGAGCAAAAGAAAUAGGAAUCAAGCUUCCUGAUCUACAUUAGCUGUCAUGUGCUGAGUUUUGCUACUGUCCAAGCAAUGUCUCAAGAUUGUUGUGUUGUGAUUAAGCAAUCUGAUUAAACAAGCACUUGAUUAUUGAUUAUAAUAUUGUCACAAUAAAUACCAUGCCUCUGACGUUCCAAUUCAUUGAGAUAACCAUCAAAAAGCUAUUUAAAUAGCAUGAAACUUGGAACCAUGCUUGCAUAUUAUGAUUCUAUUAACAUAAUCAUAAUAAUAGUUUAAUGUUAUUAUUUGAUAAAGUUGUUUGGUCAUUUGUUUACAUGUGCAGAAUUUGAUGACCUUCAAUAGAAUAUUAACAUCCACAAGUAAGGUGCAGCUUCCUUCCCAGACAAACAAGAACUGAUUAUUGUUUUUUCAUGUAUUAUCUGCACGCCAUUGGACAAUGAGAUUCUCGACACUUGACAAACUCUAGCUGUGAUGGCUGGUGUCUAGGAACAGGUAGAAUCUUGACAGCCUCUUUUUGCUUUAUAUUAGGCACAUUCUAUGCAUGGUGUAGAUAAAUAAUUUAUACUGAAAUCAUAGAAGAGAUGAUAAGAGUCUGGUUGACCAAAAGGGGACCAUGAUCCAUCCAUAUUGCUGCAGAGAAAGUGAAUCUGUCCUGUUUUUUCCCCAACCGUGGCAAUAAGAAAAAGAUGAGAGCAAAGUUUUGAAAUGCACUCCAUCUUUUUUAAUUAAAGAAAUGGCAAUAUGAUCCUAUUUUCAUAUAACUGAGUAACAAGGGUAGUAUAAAUAAUUUAGUCAUUUAAUUAAAUAAAAGAGAUGCAGUGAAGUGUAUUUAUAAAAUUAGAUCCAAUUGAUUAAACGAAAACUCCUACAAAAAAAUUCUAUGGGCUUUUUAGUGAUCAAGAAAUUCUUUUGGUUUUAUAUUUCCAAUACUUUAAUUUAAGUCUUGACUAUCAAGAAAAUCUAUAUAAUUUGGCUCUCAUUAGCUUCUAGUCUGAUCUGAUUUGCUCCAUUAACAGCAUAACUAAUUAUUUUUAAUGAUCAAGAAAAGAAGCUAUUGGAUUUGAGACAAAAUGCAAUGGCAUACACAAGAACAUGUUUGUGCUCAAAAUCUUUUGAUUGGUGAAAAGGAAAAUUCAUUUUCUCUAAGAAAUCAUAUACAUGCAUUUUUUUUCUAGUCAAGAUGUCAUGUAAAUUCAACAAAAUAACAUAAUUUGAACCUUUUCUUCUCUUUUUUCCUUUUGUUUUUCCUUUUUUUUUUGCCUGCAGUGAAGUGUGAAAUUGCAAUUGCAUCUUGAAUGGAAUAUGAAAUUCUGAAGAGAAUAUAUUUUUGAAGUGUGGAAGGCAAAUUGAUGGAAAAAUGAGCAAUCUUAACAUGUUAGUAUUGAAUUCAUUCUCUAUCUGUACAUAUCUACAAUUUGGAGUAGAACUCUAUGAAACAAAAUUGUGGUGAACAGUUGAUUGAAGCAACACCACUAAUGAUUCAGAAUGUUGAGAAGGGACACUCUGGUUUUCACCAAUAGCCUAUAUAGGCAUUCCAGCUCCUCUUCUGCCUCUUGCAUGCUAGACUCAAAUGCUUCCAAGUCUUUAAGAAGGCUUUGAAUUUGGGAGAGACUGAUGUCUUUGCUUGACUUCAGGAUAAGCAAUUCAGCAUCAAUCUUCUCUACUUCAUUUUCUUCAGUUUCCACAUCAUAUGAAACACGCUUCGACUGUAGCAAUUUUGGGAUUAGAAACCAGCCAGAGGGCAAUGAUUUUACCUUAGGCUGAGAAAUGAAAGAUAGGAUUGACUUGAACAUCACAAGACUAAUUCUCUGAACUCCUCUUAGCAUGCUGAUCAUGUUCUCCAAAUUGGAGUCCAAUGUUGUUAUUGUAAAAUGCAUCUCCUUUUUCUUCAAGUUUCUUAGACACUUGCUAAUUGCUUUGUUCAACUUCUUUCUAGAUACCAUGUAUGCAUCAACUUCUCUUGUGAAAUAGAGUCUGUGCUUUUUCUUCUGCGGAGAGAUAGUUCAAGUUCUUGCAAACAUUCCUUCAUCUGUGAGAAUAAAUCUCUUGUUGUAUCACAUAUAUCCAAUAGCUCCAGAGAUCCAUUCACUGCGUCUCCUAUGCACUGGUUUUGCCUCUCAUUGGAGAUUGUCUGUUGGACAAAUGACAGUUGAAGAAAAUCAUCAACAGACUCGAAUAAAUUCUUUAGGCCAUUCAAUUUGUGUCCUAUUGAUGAGGUUUCUGAUGUCCUCAACUUGCAUAACUGCUCUUCAAUGUUUACUCUUAGAGGAUGAGAUCUAGAAGGUAAGCUGAUUGAUCGGAGAUGACUAGCUGCCAUUUUUUUCCCUUCUAUUGAGGAAAGCCUAUAGAGAAUUUGAAUGUUGUAAUGGUCUUGGCUGUUGUUCAAACCAACACAUUGAACCUGUUAUAUAUGGAUGAGCAAUCGAUCAUAAGAAGAAUACCAUCUUCUUGAUCUACAUUAGCUGUCAUGUCCUGAGUUUUUGAGACAAUCUUGGCAACCUUUUGUCUGUGCAGUGCUGUUGGUGAGCUGUGAUUUAAAGAAUUGGGCGAUUAUUGGUUAAGUAUUGUUAUACAAACUACAAUUUCUGCGAGGUUCCAACAUCGAGAUCUCCAAGUAAUUAUAUAGCAUUGAUCUUGAAGACAAUGCAUGUAAUGACUCGAUUAAUAUAACCAAAUUAUUAAUUUAAAAUGGCAUUUGAUUGGGUUGUUAAUUUCCUGCUUUUGUUUGCAUGUGCAGAAGCCGAAGGACUGCAAUAAAAAUACUCAUCCACGAGCUGCAGCAUGCAGUUUCAUUAAUAAUUAAUGAGGCUUCUGAACAACUCUCGCUGCCAUGCGGUCCAGGGGUAAGUAGAAUCUUGACAGUCUUGGUUUCUUUUGAAUUCAGACACAGUCCAUGGAUGAUGGAGAUGUAUAAAUAGAAAUUAAAUUAAUAAUGCAACCACGCACAAAGGGGUUUAGCUUAGAUGAAUAAAAUGUUAUUAGAAUUUGGAAGACCAUAAGUGAAGCAUGAUCCACCUAUAUAUGGCCGGAUAUGCAGUUUCCCUGGUUUUUCAUUCAAAUGAAACUGAUGGAGAAGUAAUCAUAACUCCGCAGGCAAUGGUGUGAUUGGAUUAUUCAUGCUUGCUUGCCUUGUGAUAGAGACAUUAGAGUAGUUAUUCUCUGCCAUUUGGAGUUAGCAACCCAUUACAAAUUUCAUCACUAUUUUUUUUGUAGAAAACUUUUUAGUAUUGAAAAUCAGCUUUUUUCAUAAAAAAAAAACCAGUAAUUUAGAGAAACACUAUGAAUAUAAUUGAAGUGCUCAAUUAUAUGAGUAAAAAAGAAUGCAACAAAAGCCUAUAGUACAAUUCAAAAUAUGUACUACAAAUUCAAAAAUCAAAAUUAAUUAACAAUUCAAGGGCUCAAAUUAAAUUGGAAUGCAUGGUAUUAUCAUGGUUUUUUUAUUGCUCUUGUAGUCGAGAAUAAUGGAAACAGGUUUGUGACGGCUGUAUUAUAAUGGCAAUGGCCUAUCGCUAUUCAAAUUCUUUUGAAUAAUUUGCAAAGUUCAUGAUAUGAAGUUCAAUUCCUUGAGUGUGUUUGAGUCUGCAACUGGAUUUGGAUAUAUCAGUUGUUUGUUUCGCUGGAUCAACACUGACCAAAAGCAUCUGUACUUUUCUGUUUAUUUUUUUUUACUCUUUAUCUCUGGAUAUGAAAUCCCAUUAUCCUAGUUCAUCAUAUCCUGUUAAUUCUCGCAAUAAACUAUACACGUACAUUAAGUCAUGCGUACGUAACUACGUAUGUAGCUUGGAUAUGCUAUUAAUUGGGAAUGAUGUUUUGUAGCAAUUCAGUAGUGUUUACUCUAUUGAUAAUGAUUUUGUUAUGUUGAGAGGGGAGAGAAAGCAAAUUGAUGAAAAUAUUUUGCAAUCUUAGUAUUCUGGAUUGAACUUCAUUCUCUAUCUGUAUAUAUACAAAUAUAUCUACAAUUUGGUGUAUAACUCUAUGAUACAAAAUUGUGGUGAGCAGCUGAUGGAAGCAAUAGCUAAUGAUUCAGAAUGUUGAGAAGGGAAACUCUGGUUUUCACCAAUCGUCUAUAGACGCAUUCCAGAUCCUCUUCUGCCUCUUUAAUGCUCGACUCAAAUGCUUCCAAUUCUUUGAGAAGGUUUUGAAGUUGUGAAACUUUGAUGUCUUUGCUUGACUUCAGGAUAAGCAAUUCAGCGUCUAUCUUUUCAACUUCAUUGACUUCAAUUUCCACUUCACAUGAAACACGCUUGGACUGCAGCAAUUUUGGGAUUACAAACCAGCCCGAG